AUAAAAUAGAAAAUAUUGAGGAUAAAAUAGAAAAUAUUGAGGAUAAAAUAGAAAAUAUUGAGGAUAAAAUAGAAAAAAUUGAGGAUAAAAUAGAAAAAAUUGAGGAUAAAAUAGAAAAUAUUGAGGAUAAAAUAGGAAUUAUUGAGGAUAAAAUAGGAAAUAUUGAGGAUAAAAUAGGAAAAAUUGAGGAUAAAAUGCAAGCCCAAUUAGAAGAUCUAAAAAGUUUCUUACAGGAUCAAUUGGCAAACAACCACUCUACCAGAAACAGACCUGUUUCUGAACCUUUGAAUGAGGAAAUUUCCUUCCCUGAAAUAGAGAUGGAAAACACCUUCCCUAUAGCCCAGUUAACAGACUACUUCUCUUGUGCAGUGCAAAUCUUGACUGAAUUUAAUCCCCAAAACCCUUCCCCUGCAAUCCCAGUUUCUCAUGUUCCCUCUCCUAUAGAAAACCAAAUUCCAACGCAAAGGAGAUCUUGUCCUCCUAGAGAAACCUGUCCUUGUCAAACUGACCCACAGGUACAAAAUUCAACUAGAGGCCUGUUUCCUCUAAGAGAAGUACCUGAAAUAGGACGGAAUGGGGAUGUGGUGACUUUAAGACAUAGGAUACCGUUUACUCCCCAAGAAAUAAAUGAAUUUACACGAAAUAUCCUCACAUAUGAACAAGAUCCUUUUCUAGUAACAAAAAAGAUGGGAGACAUAUUUUUUCAGUAUAAUCCAUCUUACAAGGACGUUGAGAACUUACUACAGGCUUUUUUAAGUGAACGUGAAAAAAAUAAAAUAAUUGCUCAUGUCAACAAAACCCGGGGGCGUAAUGCAGCACAUUGGCCAUCUCAGGAUCCCAAAUGGGACUAUAACAAUCCUGAGGAUUAUCUACAACUAUACCAUUGUAGAGAGGCCAUCCUGACGGCAAUGAAGGAAUAUGCAGACAGUACAGAUAAGUGGAUGGAACUGGAAAAAAUUAAGCAAAAGGAAGAAUCACCCUCCAGAUUUAUGGAUAGAAUUAUCGAGUUUGGGGACAGAUACUUAGAUUGGGACUUAACUAAAGAGAGUAGUUUAAGACAAGUUAGAAGAAUCUUUGUAAAUAACUCUUGCAAAGCAAUUAAGAAUUAUUUUAGAACACAAUGCCCAAGAUGGUCAGAUAUGGACCUUGAAGAAUUGCGAAAAACAGCUAUAUAUGUUUUAAAGGGAAACAAAGAAAAGGAGAAAGAAAAUAAUGAUGACAUGGAGGAAGUGAAGAAAAAAAUAAGAUAUUUAAUAGAUAGGAUGACUAAAUUAGAAAGUGGGCAUGAUAAUGAACCAACGACAAUUGCCCCUCUCCAGAAAUCCAAUUAUCAAUCCAUUACUUGCCACUUCUGUGAGAAGAAGGGCCACAAAAUGAUGGAAUGUAGAACCUUUCUUAAGAUGUUUGGAAGGAAUACACAGUUUAAUAAUAGCUUUAAAA
rnacentral:lncRNA from 1 species